GCCCUGCCCGGUGGUGUCGUGCUUAACGGUCGCAAUGAAUAGUUGUGCUAAGGUAGCGCAGUCAAUUGUCCUUUAAUUGGGGAAAGGAAUGAAAGGGUUGACGAGGGGGAGGCUGUCUUUGUAAUAUAAUUUGAAAUUUUCUUUUACGUGAAAAGACUUAAAUUUUAAAAUAAGAAGAGAAGACCCCGGCGAGCUUGUUAAGGGUUGUUAAAUGAAAAUGACCAUUGAGGUUUGUUGGGGCAACGCAAAGGGAAGAAAACUCCUUUGAACGUGAUAAGGAUCCACUAAGAGUGAAUAAAGCAAAAGCUACCGCGGGGAUAACAGCGCAAUUUUCUUAGAGAGUCCAUAUCGAAGAGAAAGUUUGCGACCUCGAUGUUGGAUUAAGAUUUCCUUUUGGUGCAGGAGUUAAAAAGGUGGGACUGUUCGUCCUUUAAAAUUUUACGUGAUCUG
rnacentral:rRNA from 1 species